rnacentral:rRNA from 1 species
CAGCAGCCACGGGAAUACGGAGGGUGCGAGCGUUAAUCGGAAUAACUGGGCGUAAAGGGCACGCAGGCGGUUAUUUAAGUGAGGUGUGAAAGCCCCGGGCUUAACCUGGGAAUUGCAUUUCAGACUGGGUAACUAGAGUACUUUAGGGAGGGGUAGAAUUCCACGUGUAGCGGUGAAAUGCGUAGAGAUGUGGAGGAAUACCGAAGGCGAAGGCAGCCCCUUGGGAAUGUACUGACGCUCAUGUGCGAAAGCGUGGGGAGCAAACAGGAUUAGAUACCCCAGUAGUCCCUGUCUCUUAUAC